rnacentral:rRNA from 1 species
AGAGUUUGAUCCUGGCUCAGAAUCAACGCUGGCGGCGUGCCUCAGACAUGCAAGUCGAACGCGAAAUUUCCCUUCGGGGAGAAAGUAGAGUGGCGCACGGGUGAGUAACACGUAGGUAAUCUACCUUUGGAUGGGGAAUAACCCAGAGAAAUCUGGGCUAAUACCGCAUAAUGCAGCGGCACCUAAUGGUGACAGUUGUUAAAGCGGGGGAUCGAAAGACCCCGCGUCUAAAGAGGAGCCUGCGGCGGAUUAGCUAGUUGGUAAGGUAAUGGCUUACCAAGGCUACGAUCCGUAACCGGCCUGAGAGGGCGGUCGGUCACACUGACACUGACAUACGGGUCAGACUCCUACGGGAGGCAGCAGUCGGGAAUUUUGGGCAAUGGGCGAAAGCCUGACCCAGCAACGCCGCGUGAAGGAUGAAAUCCCUCGGGAUGUAAACUUCGCAAGAACGGGAAGAAUAAGUAGGGGACAAUACCCCCUAUGAUGACGGUACCGUUUGUAAGCUCCGGCUAACUCCGUGCCAGCAGCCGCGGUAAUACGGGGGGAGCAAGCGUUGUUCGGAUUUACUGGGCGUAAAGGGCGCGUAGGCGGUCAGCACAAGUCAGUUGUGAAAUCUCCGAGCUUAACUCGGAAAGGUCAACUGAUACUGUGCGACUA